CAUGUGGGAACACCAUACCUGGAUUCUGGGUGUGAUACACUGUCUAUACUUAUAUUAUCGUUAUCACUAAACUAUUGCUGGCUCCAAGUCUCAUCACCUUACCUUACCUCUGCCAUUCCCCCCGCUGCCUGCUGAGCUUUACCCCUGCUAUCUGUCCACCUAACUAGCAAAAUGGUAAACCAGUUUUGAUAUUUACCUGUUUAUGAUUAAACUGCAAAAUGAUCUGCUGUCUUCUCAUCUAAAUUAAGGUCUGCAUUAAAUGUCAUAGCAUUUAUCUUUCAUAGAACGAGACAGCAAGGACACUAAUUUCCCAGGUACUCAAUCACUGCCCCAUGCCACUGGAGAGUGUCUCAGGGAGCAGCGUGCCCGCCGCUCACAGCUCACUGGCAGCACGGAGAUGGAAUCGUAAAAGUCAAUUAAUCAUUAAAAGCUGUUACCAGCCCGUAUUGAACCGCUCUGGCACAAAAUGUUAAUCAGCCCCACAUCGAUACCAUAAAUUCCUGCAAAUUGGAGCGGUCGAUAGCGCCGGAUCGAUGGGAGGGCGUGAAACCUCUCCGCUGGGCCCCACCAACAUGGCCGCCGGGCAGCCACCACACCCCUCCCGGCAGGCCCCGCGCCCCGCCGUUACCACGGCGACUGCAUGUCACCCCACAGCCCGGCCUGCUGGGGCUGAGGCGGGCACUGAUGCAUCACUGCCUGUGAUGGCCACUUUAAAUCAUAUGAGAUCAGUCAGAGGAUGUAAGCAAAAGUAUUGUGCAGCGCUGAGCAGGAGAGAGGCAAUUUGAAGUGGGAAUGAUGAAAAGCAGAAAGACUGCUCACAAGGUGGUAUGUGCCAUUUGGAAGAAUUCUGUGCUGUGCUACCUGUAGUAUUGAUGCACAAAGCUUGGCGCCUGUCCAGGCCAUUAGAAGACCUAUAUCACCAUUUUUUAUGUAUGCUUGACCUUUUGGUUACACAUCAGUUGAAAGACAUAUUUUUUCCGCUGUGCUUUUAGCUGUUGCUGUUCACUGCACUGUUUCACUGCCAUUGCCACCAUAUAACAGGACAUACCAUGACAGGUUUUUCCACAGUCCUUGCUUGUCCAAGGCUCUGCAGGUAUCUCAGUUUGCCCUGCCAGUUAAACAAAUCUAGGUCAACAGAACCAUCAUGCUGUUCACUAUCCAUCUUAUUUUAGUGACACAUCACUGCCAAUUUCAGCUACCAUGUAAAGCACUGAACUUUUCACCAGGAAAAAAAC